CAACUUUCAGCAACGGAUCUCUUGGCUCUCGCAUCGAUGAAGAACGCAGCGAAUUGCGAUAAGUAAUGUGAAUUGCAGAUUUUCAGUGAAUCAUCGAAUCUUUGAACGCACCUUGCGCUCCUUGGUAUUCCGAG
rnacentral:rRNA from 1 species